GACGAACGCUGGCGGCGUGCUUAACACAUGCAAGUCGAACGGAAAGGCCCUGCUUUUGUGGGGUGCUCGAGUGGCGAACGGGUGAGUAACACGUGAGUAACCUGCCCUUGACUUUGGGAUAACUUCAGGAAACUGGGGCUAAUACCGGAUAGGAGCUCCUGCUGCAUGGUGGGGGUUGGAAAGUUUCGGCGGUUGGGGAUGGACUCGCGGCUUAUCAGCUUGUUGGUGGGGGAGUGGCUUACCAAGGCUUUGACGGGUAGCCGGCCUGAGAGGGUGACCGGCCACAUUGGGACUGAGAUACGGCCCAGACUCCGACGGGAGGCAGCAGUGGGGAAUAAUGCACGAUGGGCGGAAGCCGGAUCCAGCAGCGCCGCGUGCGGGAUGACGGCCUUCGGGUUGUAAACCGCUUUCGCCUGGGAGGAAGAGCGAGAGACGGGAAUGGGUGAAGAAGCACCGGCUAACUACGUG
rnacentral:rRNA from 1 species